rnacentral:rRNA from 1 species
CCUACGGGAGGCAGCAGUAGGGAAUAUUGCUCAAUGGGGGAAACCCUGAAGCAGCAACGCCGCGUGGAGGAUGAAGGUUUUCGGAUUGUAAACUCCCUUUUAUAGAGAAAAUAAUGACGGUAUCUAACGAAUAAGCACCGGCUAACUACGUGACAGCAGCCGCGGUAAUACGGAGGGUGCAAGCGUUAUUCGGAAUCACUGGGCGUAAAGAGGGCGUAGGCGGGAUAGCAAGUCAGAUGUGAAAUCCUAUGGCUUAACCAUAGAACUGCAUUUGAAACUGUUAUUCUAGAGUAUGGGAGAGGUAGGUGGAAUUCUUGGUGUAGGGGUGAAAUGCGUAGAGAUCAAGAGGAAUACUCAUUGCGAAGGCGACCUGCUAGACCAUAACUGACGCUGAUGCGCGAAAGCGUGGGUAGCAAACAGGAUUAGAUACCCCAGUAGUC